rnacentral:lncRNA from 1 species
UAGGCAUCAUAUACAUAAAAAUAGCUUAAAAAUGCUGGUAUACAAUAGAGAAUACGUGCAGUGUUUGAACUGGGCCUGUCUUGUCGUUUUUAUGCAGUUUGGGCUAUACUCUUGUCUCUUGGGGAGUACGUGAAUUACGUGGGCCACUAAGGCCUAGUUAGAUUGUGAGAGAAUUAGAAGUAUCUGAAUCCAUCAGCUUCCUGUUCGUGUGCGUACCUAGGCGAGACGAAGUCCUGGACGUGACGCUGUGAGUCCGUGACCUAGGAACUGCUGCGCCGCUGCUACUCCUAGCCGGCGAGCCGGCGAGGCAAACUGCCGGAUUAUCAUCGGACAGGUCGGCAGAAAGAUCGCAAGGCCGCACGAGAAGCGCCAGCGAACACUCAACCUGUGCAAGGCCAUGGUGAAGUGGCAUCUAAUAGCAGUCUACCACCAACAAGUAGGGCUAGCGGCAAGCGGCAAUUAGGUGAAUUAAUCUCUCUAUUUUAUCAAGAAAUUGUGCAUUUAAACAUUGAUUGUGUCGGCUCUAAUUAUGCAGUUAUGUUUGUUAAAACUUCAGAGUUGAGCAGAUCUAAUGUAUUUAAUCUCAGUGAAAAAUAUAUAAUUUGGUAAUGUGGCACACGCUUGUAGGUUCUCUUGUGUGCACAACGAUGAACAUUGAAGAUUGGACUAUUAUCGUCAAGACAAAGGUUAGAUUGUGUGUCUAGUGCUUAGCGAGUUAUUUGCUAUUGUAUGUCUUUGUUUUUAUUUACUUCUGUCAUCUAUGAAACAUUAGUGCGUAUAUUGCGCAUACUGUUUAUUCAAAUAUAUGAUACUAGUGAUGUUUGAUAUAUAUAUAUGAAAAAAUCUUUGUUUACAGCGUGCCCAGGCUUUGGCAAUUAGCUAGCUCCGCCACUGAAUAUAAGUACCACUGUACAAGAAAAUGAAAACUGCAUUUUUCAAUGGUAUGCUCUCUUCCAUUCAAAUAACACUCAGUCAGUUAGUAAAAAAUAUAUAAUG